rfam:Moellerella wisconsensis ATCC 35017 Sequence00016, whole genome shotgun sequence.
AGUUGCUCAUUCAACUCAUUAUGUCGGUCCACAUUAGGGUGGGGAUAUACCACAUAAAAUCAGAAUGACGCCAGAGUAAGGUGCCUACCGUCCGGUAAUAUCGAUAUUCGCCCUCGGGCCUUAUCACGCAAAGGACGACACGUUGAGUGAGGCGCCACCUA